AAAGUGACGUAAAUGAACCGGGCAAACGGCGAAAAGGACGAAAGAAAAGUCUGAAAAGGUUCACGGAAAAACAGUUAAAACUACAAGGUUUAGCUUCGGUCAAUUGGGGAACAAGCUCUUACGUUGGUUGAUGACAAUGAAAGCAAUAAACGUCAUUUAACCAUCAGUUCUGGCCUUCUCAACUUUGACUGGAUGCUACACUCUGCAGGACGCUCACUUUGUGUCUUUGUUGCUGACGCAGUUCUGUUCUCCUGCAGCGAAGCUCCUGUGCUGCUCCCUGCUGGCUGUCUGUCUGCAUGCACAGCUGAAGCACAGAUAUUUAGAAUAUCCGUAACAAUGUGGAAAAGUGUUUUAACUUUAAUGCAUGCUGGGAGGUGAGGCAUGAAGUAAAUGAUCAAUUGGACGUUUACUCACCUUAAUUCAUUAUAAUACAUUAUACAUAAACAAUAUAAACUUGAAACUGUAAUCACCCUGAGAAUUGUUGAUUGAAUGCAACAGAUGUGACAAAACCAAUUAAAUUCAACAUAUGUUUUUAAAUAAAUGCACAAAAUCCCGGAGGCAAAGAGGCAGGACAGACUCUUUAAUUAUGAUUUCCUCUGGUUACCCCAGGACAGUAUAUAUACUGUCAGUGCUUUGUUAAAGUUGCUUCUUUAUCUAUUCUAUUCAGACUGUGUGAGUUUAUGGUUUCUUGUAACCACUUUACAUGAAGUUUAAUUUCAUACAAACGUUUUUGUUUUUCUAACUGUGACUUUCUGUCAUCUAAAGUUAUGUUGAGUCGGGUGUCAGUACCUGAGUCCAGGUGCUCAGUUUAAGAGCAGUUUUUUAACAGUAAAAUAAACGUAUAGUAUCAAAAGCAAAACUCAUUAUGCAAAUGGACCCAUUCAGAUGAUGAAUAUUAUUAAAAGGUGCACAAGUAUGUUGCCAUGGCAAUUUACGUUUCCAACUAGCUCUCUCUGUACUGGUUUGCCCUCAAGACCUGCUCUUCAAUACCACACAGCACCGCCUCACACCCUGUACACCUGAGACAGAAAAGGCCGACAUGGAGGGAAGGAGAAAGCCGAUUGCAGUGGGAAGAUCUGGUCCACGUCCAACUGAAGACACGAGACUCAUAUGUGGAGACGGCAGUACUGCUGGACACUCUCACAGCAGGUUAUCUUCGUGGUUAACUCAUGUCACCCUGUAUACAGACUAGGCUGUUAUAAGCCAGAGAUUAUUCAAGGUUUUACUUUAAGAUUUGUGAUUUUAAUUGUAGGCCAAUUUUCUUGUAUUCUUGUCCCAGCUCC